UAUAGGUGAGGUGUAGAACCCCCAAUGAGGUGAGGUGUAGAACCCACUACAAGGUGAGGUGUAGAAUCCACUACGAGGUGAGGUGUAGAACCCCCAACGAGGUGAGGUGUAGAACCCCCAAUGAGGUGAGGUGUAGAACCCACUAUGAGGUGAGGUGUAGAACCCACUUCGGGGUGAGGUGUAGAACCCACUAUGAGGUGAGGUGUUGAACCCCCAACGAGGUGAGGUGUAGAACCCCCAAUGAGGUGAGGUGUAGAACCCACUAUGAGGUGAGGUGUAGAACCCACUAUGAGGUGAGGUGUAGAACCCCCACUUCGAGGUGAGGUGUUGAACCCACUACAAGGUGAGGUGUAGAACCCCCAAUGAGGUCAGGUGUAGAACCCACUUCGGGGUGAGGUGUAGAACCCACUAUGAGGUGAGGUGUUGAACCCACUAUGAGGUGAGGUGUAGAACCCACUAUGAGGUGAGGUGUAGAACCCCCAAUGAGGUGAGGUGUAGAACCCACUCCGAGGUGAGGUGUUGAACCCACUACAAGGUGAGGUGUAGAACCCCCAAUGAGGUGAGGUGUAGAACCCACUUCGGGGUGAGGUGUAGAACCCACUAUGAGGUGAGGUGUUGAACCCACUACGAGGUGAGGUGUAGAACCCCCAAUGAGGUGAGGUGUAGAACCCACUCCGAGGUGAGGUGUAGAACCCACUACGAGGUGAGGUGUAGAACCCCUACGAGGUGAGGUGUAGAACCUACUAUGAGGUGAGGUGUUGAACCCACUCCGAGGUGAGGUGUAGAACCCCCAAUGAGGUGAGGUGUAGAACCCCCAAUGAGGUGAGGUGUAGAACCCAUUAUGAGGUGAGGUGUAGAACCCCCAAUGAGGUGAGGUGUAGAACCCCCAAUGAGGUGAGGUGUAGAACCCCCAAUGAGGUGAGGUGUAGAACCCCCAAUGAGGUGAGGUGUAGAACCCAUUAUGAGGUGAGGUGUAGAACCCCCAAUGAGGUGAGGUGUAGAACCCCCAAUGAGGUGAGGUGUAGAACCCCCAAUGAGGUGAGGUGUAGAACCCCCAAUGAGGUGAGGUGUAGAACCCAUUAUGAGGUGAGGUGUAGAACCCCCAAUGAGGUGAGGUGUAGAACCCCCAAUGAGGUGAGGUGUAGAACCCCCAAUGAGGUGAGGUGUAGAACCCCCAAUGAGGUGAGGUGUAGAACCCAUUAUGAGGUGAGGUGUAGAACCCCCAAUGAGGUGAGGUGUUGAACCCACUACGAGGUGAGGUGUAGAACCCAUUAUGAGGUGAGGUGUAGAACCCCCAAUGAGGUGAGGUGUUGAACCCAUUAUGAGGUGAGGUGUUGAACCCACUCCGAGGUGAGGUGUAGAACCCCCAACAAGGUGAGGUGUAGAACCCCCAAUGAGGUGAGGUGUAGAACCCCCUACGAGGUGAGGUGUAGAACCCACUACGAGGUGAGGUGUAGAACCCCCUACGAGGUGAGGUGUAGAACCCCCUACGAGGUGAGGUGUAGAACCCACUACGAGGUGAGGUGUAGAACCCCCUAUGAGGUGAGGUGUAGAACCCCCAACGAGGUGAGGUGUAGAACCCCCAACGAGAUGAGGUGUAGAACCCCCUACGAGGUGAGGUGUAGAACCCCCAACGAGGUGGGGUGUAGAACCCCCAACGAGGUGAGGUGUAGAACCCACUGUGAGGUAUAGAACCCAUUAUGGGGUGAGGUGUAGAACCCACUACGAGGUGAGGUGUAGAACCCCCAACGAGGUGAGGCGUAGAACCCCCAACGAGGUCAGGUGUAGAACCCACUACGAGGUGAGGUCAGCCUCACCUUCAUCCUCCUCAUCCUCUCUGUGCCAGCAGCUCUCUGUCACCUGAUUCACUACACUUAGUCCACUGCUUGGCCUAAAGAAGUGUUUCAUUAGGGACACAACUAGCCACAGGUUUCAGCUGUGUAAGAUCCGUUAUGAUCUGAGAUAUUUACCAGUGGACAGUGAGACACAAAGUAAUGGUUCAUGAGAAGAAAAAAAAUCAACUGAUGAUAUUCUUAUGAGACAACUGUCCUCUCUAUGCUUGUGUACGUGU